CCUACGGGAGGCAGCAGUAGGGAAUCUUUCACAAUGGGCGAAAGCCUGAUGGAGCAACGCCGCGUGCAGGAUGAAGGCCUUCGGGUUGUAAACUGCUUUUAUAAGCGAGAAAUAUGAUGGUAACUUAUGAAUAAGGAUCGGCUAACUACGUGCCAGCAGCCGCGGUCAUACGUAGGAUCCGAGCAUUAUCCGGAGUGAAUGGGUGUAAAGAGUUGCGUAGGUGGCAUAAUAAGUAGCUAGUGAAACCUGGUGGCUCAACCAUUCAGACUAUUAGCUAAACUGUUAAGCUCGAGACCGUUAGGGGCAUCUGGAAUUUCUAGUGGAGGAGUGAAAUCCGUAGAUAUUAGAAGGAACACCAGUGGCGUAGGCAGGAUGCUGGGACGGUUCUGACACUAAGGCACGAAAGCGUAGGGAGCAAACGGGAUUAGAUACCCCAGUAGUC
rnacentral:rRNA from 1 species